ACUUCGGUGAGGCCCUAGACCCGCCCUGAUGAGGGGGAGAGGGAGCAAGUUGGUCAUGCCCUGGACUCUGACCCUUCUCUCUGAUUCACAGAAGCGAAAUAUUAAAAAGGGAGCAGUUCCCCGCUCCAUCCCCAAUCUAGCGGAGGUAAAGAAGAAAGGCAAAAUGAAGAAGCUCGGCCAAGCAAUGGAAGAAGAUCUAAUCGUGGGACUGCAAGGGAUGGAUCUGAACAUUGAGGCUGAAGCACUGGCUGGCACUGGCUUGGUGUUGGAUGAGCAGCUAAAUGAAUUCCAUUGCCUCUGGGAUGACAGCUUCCCGGAAGGCCCUGAGCGGCUCCAUGCCAUCAAGGAGCAACUGAUCCAGGAGGGCCUCCUAGAUCGCUGCGUGUCCUUUCAGGCCCGGUUUGCUGAAAAGGAAGAGCUGAUGUUGGUUCACAGCCUAGAAUAUAUUGAUCUGAUGGAAACAACCCAGUACAUGAAUGAGGGAGAACUCCGUGUCCUAGCAGACACCUACGACUCAGUUUAUCUGCAUCCGAACUCAUACUCCUGUGCCUGCCUGGCCUCAGGCUCUGUCC
rnacentral:sRNA from 1 species